rnacentral:lncRNA from 1 species
GCCACCCAGGCAGCCCAUGUGCUGACAACUUUUAUUUUUUUAUUUAUUUUUAUUUUUAUUUUUUUAACUUUUAAAAUCAUUGUUGAUAGUACUAAUCAAUCCAGUUUCUUUCUUUUUUUUUUUUUUUUCAAUCCAGUUUCUAAUGAAAUAUUCCAAAUCAACCUCAAGGCCAAACAUGUUCCAUCUGGAGAUGGAGCCAGGGAUGGAGACAUAUCAACCCAUCCAGGGAUAUUUCCCCGGCGUUCACUGAGUAUCACCGGGACCCAUCACAGUGUGGCAUGCCAAAGCAAGGUGGUUUGCGCACGUGAUUCCAUCAGAGAGAGGAGGAACACCCUGACAGGACUCCUUGCUCGUGGGCGGAACUCUGUCUAA